rnacentral:rRNA from 1 species
UACAGAGGGUGCGAGCGUUGUCCGGAAUCACUGGGCGUAAAGGGCGCGUAGGUGGUGGCUUAAGCGUGCGGUGAAAGCUCGGGGCUCAACCCCGAGUCGGCCGUGCGAACUGGGCUCACUGGAGCAUAGUAGAGGCAGGUGGAAUUCCGGGUGUAGCGGUGGAAUGCGUAGAGAUCCGGAAGAACACCAGUGGCGAAGGCGGCCCGCUGGGCAGUGGCUGACGCUGAGGCGCGACAGCGUGGGGAGCAAACAGG